rnacentral:rRNA from 1 species
GACGAACGCUGGCGGCGCGCCUAACACAUGCAAGUCGAACGAACGAGAGAGAGCUUGCUUUCUCAAACGAGUGGCGAACGCGUGAGUAACACGUGUGGAACCCGCCUCAAAGAGGGGGACAACAGUUGGAAACGACUGCUAAUACCGCAUAAGCCAACGACCCGGCAUCGGGUAGAGGGUAAAGGAGCCAUCCGCUUUGAGAUGGCCUCGCGUCCGAUUAGCUGGUUGGUGUGGUAACGGCCCAGGAAGGCGACGAUCGGCAGCCGGACUGAGAGGUAGAAGCGCAACAUUGAGAAUAGGGCACUGCUCAGAAUCCUACGGGAGGGAGCAAGGAGGAAUAUAGCACUGUGGGGGAAAACCUGAAGCAGCGCCGAACGGUGGAGGAAGAAGGUCAUCAGAAUGAAAACUCGAGGUGUAGAGGAAGGUAAUGACGGUAAGUAACAAGGAAGUGACGGCUAACUACGUG